rnacentral:misc_RNA from 1 species
AAAUUAUAAGAUUGCUAAAUUCCUCCAACAUUUACUACCAGUCCCUCAUUUCGGCCUUGAUAAUGAUUAAGGUGACACUUAAUUACAACUGGGCUGGUAUGAAAAUCGAAUCAGCCUCGUACUGUAAUGAAUUUAAAAUUUUCUGUAAAUUACAUUUUCUGCACUAACACACAAAAAUGGAUGAGCCAUUUCAACCUCUAAAACUUACAUCAUCUUGCAUUAUUUUGAGUGGGCAAUUUACGUGCAAGUAAUUAGCUAUUGAACAAGAAAAGUUGAAUUAGGUGCUAAACCUGUACAGAUUAUGGUGUGGAAUUGAGCUUCAUAUCACUCUCUCUGGAACUUAAUAAAAUCUUGUCACUUGCUUGCAGCAUGGUAAAGCUCCAUGUA